GAAGGCAUAGAUGUAUGCAGUAAUAAUUUAAUUUGGCGAUGACCAUGAAGAAGGGUACUAUUGUUGUUAUUACAUUCUUUCUUUUGGUUUGUGUUAUGUUUCUUCCCACCUCAACUUUUGGUCGACCUGGACCACCCAAUGGAGGAAGCACACCACCUCCGAUUGCUGGAUGCGGCCCUUAUACAAGUAAGUGUGUUGGUCCUGGUCACACGCCACUGAAACCCGGUGGUCCCGGAGGUCCCGGUGUGUCCAAAACAAAAACAUAAUUUGCCAAUGACCACAAAAUUCCAUAAAUAAAUAUAUUCUCUUAUUGGUGUGUAUAUGUUUGUAACUUUUUAAUUUCUAUGGAUUACUGUUUACGGUUUAGGUUUAUUGUUAUCAUUUUCCAGAAUGUAUUUCUUUAAAAUCCUAAAGUGUACUUUGGCUGAGAUCCUAUACAUAUUUUCUAGCUAGUUUAGGAGGUGAAAUAUAAUUAAACGUGUACCUUUGUAAACUCAUCCUAAUAAAUAAAAACAUACUGCUUCAUUAUUA